rnacentral:rRNA from 1 species
UACGUAGGGUGCGAGCGUUGUCCGGAAUUAUUGGGCGUAAAGAGCUUGUAGGCGGUUUGUCGCGUCUGCCGUGAAAAUUCGAGGCUCAACCUCGAACUUGCGGUGGGUACGGGGCAGACUAGAGUGUGGUAGGGGAGACUGGAAUUCCUGGUGUAGCGGUGGAAUGCGCAGAUAUCAGGAGGAACACCGGUGGCGAAGGCGGGUCUCUGGGCCGUAACUGACGCUGAGGAGCGAAAGCAUGGGGAGCGAACAGG